CUUGAAUUACAGAGGAACAGAAGGCAUAUUAUGGUGGGAAUUUCAUCCAUUUCCUUAUAAUAACAUAAUCCAUAGAGAGUACCUCUUAAUAUGAAGGCAGAAAGGAUUUUGUCUACCACUUUUGAGGCAGAAGGCUUCCUGGCUCUACAAGCUAUACCCCUCUUUUCCAGAUCUCCCUCUCUUCAAUGAGACUUAAGAAACUCUCUGAGCCUCCUUCUCCCUGGAUUAUGGAAACUUCAGCCUGAAACCCUGCAGCGUGUCAAGAACAUAACCACCAUUGGCUCAUGUGAGUGGCAAGUCACACUAAUUGCAAGAGCUUCAGGCGUGGCUGGAUCCAGGAGCUCCAGCUAUAUACUUGUGAGUCUGACUCUCUCCAACUCUUGGUUCUCUUUCCUUUGCUUUUGGUUUCAUUCUGAAGUAGCAUCUCCCAGGUGAUGGUAAACAUGGCCAACACCAGUUAUAGGCCUACAUCCUACCAUUUGAGCAAAGCCAACAGGUAUUUAAUUUCCCUUCUCUAUAAAUUAAGAAAGCCUCUUUGAAAUUAAAGGGGCAAUUUGGAUUAAAAUCUAACUGAUCUCAGUUGAAUCACAAAUCAGUUCCUGAAUCAAUCAUUUGUGAUCUGGGAGAUGAAUAAAGGUGGUUGACCAUAAUGAA
ensembl:lncRNA